UACAAAAAUGGUCACAAGAACUAAAGCCGGCAUAUCAAAAUCAGCACCGCGGUGACACAUAAAGCGCAUGCGCAAGUAUACGAAAAUGGCGGGGAAAAUGUCUGCCAAGAUAACAGCAGUAAGUAUGGGAAACAAAAAGCGUUACUAUAAGGAAAUGGCUGAAGUUAUACGGACUUAGUUUAAACUCUCGUAAUUUGAACUAGUUUAACCUUUUUGCUACAGCUUUGUGAAGGCAAUACUAUAGAUCCAGCCUUUCGAGUGCAAGCAGUCGAUACGCCGACAUUUGACCGCAAUCCACUUUUUCUUCAUUUUUCACCAAAAACAUGCUCGCCUCAGGCUACUUCCGCAUCACACGUCCUGCCUCCUCCGCAGGCCCUCGUUGCGUCAUGGGAAGGUCACGAUUUCGAGAGGGCCUGCGGAAUCUUGUAAAAUGAAUUGCUGCUUCGUU